rnacentral:rRNA from 1 species
AGUGAACGCUGGCGGUAUGCCUAACACAUGCAAGUCGAACGGCAGCACAGUAAGAGCUUGCUCUUACGGGUGGCGAGUGGCGGACGGGUGAGGAAUACAUCGGAAUCUACUUUUUCGUGGGGGCUAACGUAGGGAAACUUACGCUAAUACCGCAUUCGACCUACGGGUGAAAGCAGGGGAUCUUCGUACCUUGCGCGAUUGAUUGAGCCGAUGUCGGAUUAGCUAGUUGUCGGGGUAAAGGCCCACCAAGGCGACGCUCCGUAUCUGGUCUGAGAGGAGGAGCAGCGACACAGGAACAGAGAGACGGUCCAGACUCCUACGGGAGGCAGCAGUGGGGAAUGUAGGGCAAUGGGCGCAAGCCUGAGCCAGCCAUACCGCGUGGGUGAAGUAGGCCUUCGGGUUGUAAAGCCCUUUUGUUGGGAAAGAAAAGCAGCAGGUUAAUACCCCGCUGUUCUGACGGUACCCAAAGAAUAAGCACCGGCUAACUUCGG